GGACUACCAGGGUUUCUAAUCCCAUUCGCUACCCACGCUUUCGUGUUUCAGCGUCAGGAGUGCGCCAGCGUACUGCUUUCGCUUUCGGUGUUCCUCAUGAUAUCAACGGAUUUCACCCCUACACCAUGAGUUCCGUACGCCUCUCGCAUCCUCGAGCCGUGCCGUUUCGUUCGCAGAUUCCCGGUUGAGCCGGGAGUUUUAACAAACGACUAGCAUGGCCGCCUACACACCCUUUACGCCCAGUAAUUCCGGAUAACGCUCGGGGCACUCGUAUUACCGCGGCGGCUGGCAC
rnacentral:rRNA from 1 species